rnacentral:rRNA from 1 species
ACUCAAAUGAAUUGACGGGGGCUCACACAAGCGGUGGAGCAUGUGGCUUAAUUCGAGGCUACGCGCAAAACCUUAUCCUGGGCUUGACAUGCACGGAUUAGCCGGCGGAAACGCCGGCGAGGCCUUCGGGUACAACGUGCACAGGUGCUGCAUGGCUGUCGUCAGCUCGUGCCGUGAGGUGUCGGGUUAAGUCCCUUAACGAGCGAAACCCCUGCCCUUAGUUGCCAGCGCGUCAUGGCGGGCACUCUAAGGGGACCGCCGGCGUUAAGCCGGAGGAAGGCGGGGACGACGUCAAGUCAUCAUGGCCCUUAUGCCCAGGGCUGCACACGUGCUACAAUGGGGUGCAACAAAGCGUCGCCAGGCCGCGAGGCCGCGCUAAUCGCAAAAACCACCCCUCAGUUCGGAUUGCGGGCUGCAACCCGCCCGCAUGAAGCUGGAAUCGCUAGUAAUCGUGGAUCAGCAUGCCACGGUGAAUGGGUUCCUGAGCCUUGUACACACCGCCCGU